rnacentral:rRNA from 1 species
UACGUAGGGGGCUAGCGUUGUCCGGAAUCAUUGGGCGUAAAGCGCGUGUAGGCGGUCCGGUAAGUCCGCUGUGAAAGUCGAGGGCUCAACCCUCGAAUGCCGGUGGAUACUGUCGGGCUAGAGUGCGGAAGAGGCGAGUGGAAUUCCUGGUGUAGCGGUGAAAUGCGCAGAUAUCAGGAAGAACACCCGUGGCGAAGGCGGUUCUCUGGGACGGUACUGACGCUGAGACGCGAAAGCGUGGGGAGCGAACAGG